GACGCAAACGCAAAAUGCUGAAAAAUUUCAUCGUAAUCGCGAUUGUACUCGUCAUGGUGGGCCAGGCAGUUCAAACUGCAACUCAAGCCAAAUUAAAGGAUAUGAAGGCUGCUCCUCAAGGUCCGCCACCACAAGUUCAAGAUGCAAUCGAGCAGGCCCAAGACAUGGCGUCGAAUAUACCCGGGGUUCCUCACUGACAGGGCUUCAUUUCCUUUUUAAUUCCAUUGUAAUGGCAUUGUUAAUAAAAUGUUGGAAGUA